rnacentral:rRNA from 1 species
UACGAAGGGUGCAAGCGUUACUCGGAAUUACUGGGCGUAAAGCGUGCGUAGGUGGUGAGUUAAGUCUGUCGUGAAAGCCCCGGGCUCAACCUGGGAAUGGCGAUGGAUACUGGCUCGCUAGAGUGCGGUAGAGGAGAGUGGAAUUCCCGGUGUAGCAGUGAAAUGCAUAGAGAUCGGGAGGAACAUCAGUUGCGAAGGCGGCUCUCUGGACCAGCACUGACACUGAGGCACGAAAGCGUGGGGAGCAAACAGG